AUCACUCCUCAGCCUUUUGGCUAAGAUCAAGUGCAGUAUUUGUUUUUAUCAGUUUAAAGCACAUAACUGGAAAAUCUCCAACAUCAGAAAUUAGGGGCUAAUGAUACAUAUGCAAAUAGAAAAAUGGAUACAAAUUAAAUGCAAAGCUAAAUGAUUCUUU
ensembl:snRNA U2 U2 spliceosomal RNA